rnacentral:rRNA from 1 species
UGCGCAGGCGGGCUUGUGAGUCAGUGGUGAAAUACUGCCGCUUAACGGUAGAACUGCCAUUGAUACUGCGAGUCUUGAAUAUGGUUGAGGUAGGCGGAAUGUGUUGUGUAGCGGUGAAAUGCAUAGAUAUGACACAGAACGCCGAUUGCGAAGGCAGCUUACUAAGCCAUUAUUGACGCUGAGGCACGAAAGCGUGGGGAGCGAACAGGAUUAGAUACCCUGGUAGUCC